ACGGGAUCGUGUUCUGAUCUGCGUUUAUAGACCUUGAUAUAUUUUAAACAUAAAAAAUCGUGCUAAUAUAUUUUCAAACGAGAACUACUGCGUUAACGGCUAUUAAUUUUCUAAUUUGUUCUAGAAGGUUCCAUAGCCGAAUCGUUUUAAUUAAUAUAUAUAAACAUGGAAGAACAGAGAGAGUCGAUUUCUAGUCGAUUAAUUAAAUUAAAUCAAUUAUUCUUUGAAAGACUUAAAGGAAAUGUUACAAAUCGUCAUAUAAUAUCCAGAGAUGGGUUAAUGGAUGCUUUAUUCGCAUUAUAUGAUGAAUGCAAUAAUGAAUAUAUGAGAAAAGAUAAACACAUAGCAGCUUUUGUAG